rnacentral:tRNA from 1 species
UAUAUCCGUAUGGAGGCUUCGACCAAUCUGAUUGGUGGUCAGCCUUUCUCAGUGCAAAACCUGAGGGAUGUGC